rnacentral:rRNA from 1 species
UACGUAGGUGGCAAGCGUUGUCCGGAUUUACUGGGCGUAAAGGAUGCGUAGGCGGACAUUUAAGUCGGAUGUGAAAGCCCACGGCUCAACCGUGGAAGCGCAUCCGAAACUGCUUCGCUCGAGUCUCGGAGAGGAAGGUGGAAUGCUUGGUGUAGAGGUGAAAUUCGUAGAUAUCAAGCAGAACACCUGCGGCGAAGGCGGCCUUCUGGACGAUGACUGACGCUGAGACGCGAAAGCGUGGGGAGCAAACAGG